rnacentral:tRNA from 1 species
GGGGUGCUGGGGGAGGAAGCCCGGGGCUUUCUCCGCUUCCUGAAGGAAGCGGGAGCCCGUUACUGGCAGGUUCUACCCCUGGGCCCCACG